ensembl:lncRNA
AUGAUGCCUCAGCCAGUGUCCCCUAUCACACCACAGCCAGAACCACAUGUGCCUCAGCCAGUGCCCUCUACCACACUGUUACAGCCUGAGCAUGUUCCGCAAGAGCAGCAGUAUGAUGCACUCCCCAGGGCCUGGCAGUCUGUUCCACUGCCAUAUCCACCUGUGCAUUAUCCUAGACCACCCCGUGGUCAGCACUAUUAUCCAACAUCUCACCCAGUAGACAGUUCACAUCAGCCAAGUAUGAUGGAGAUGGCGAUUGCUUCAUCAUUUGGCAUUCCUAAACCCAAACUGACUGUAUUCAGCUCAGGGAAAGAGAGUGAUUUUCUUAUGCUCAAAAAGGGUCUGGACAGCUUACUUGGUCCGCACAAGCAUUUAAGUGAAGACUAUAAGUAUCAGAUUCUGCUUGACCAUCUCACAUUCCCAUCUGCACUUCAAGUGGCAAAGAGGUAUGUCAACAGUCAGACCCCAUACACAAGUGCCAUGCAAGCGCUCACACAGAGGUACGGACAGCCAAGGCAGCUAGUGCAGGGAGAACUGAAGGCCAUUCUGAAUGCCCCACCAGUCAGGGCCGGAGAUUAUCAAGCAUUUGAGGACUUUGCUACGGCAGUUGGAACUCUAGUGGGGAUGCUCAGUACAAUGGAGGGCCCCUCAUCGUCAGAGUUGAAGUGUGGGUCUCAUGUGGACACUCUACUCACCAAACUCCCCACUAACUAUCGAGAUGCAUUUGCUGAACAUUGCUUUAACCGAGGAAUUAUCCAAAGUGGCAGUGACCGUACAUACACUCUCCCUGACCUAGCUGAGUGGCUGGAAAGGAAGGCCCAGACUCUGCAAGUGUCUCGCCAAAUCACAAGCCCCUUCCCAGCUAUACCAGCACCGACUGAGUACAAGGACCGGAAAGCAGUGAGACAACAGAGGGUCAGACCUGCUACUAUUCUGCUUGGGAGUCAGCAGGGAUCGAAGCCCGCUAAUCCUUCUCCGAGCCCUGCCACUGUACCACACCUGAAGAAGAGAGAUCGUUUCAAGCCCUUCUGCCCUUAUUGUAAUAACCAGGAGCACUACCUCAAUGCCUGUGCUGACUUUGCCACGCUCACCUGUACUGCCAGAGCUACCUGGAUAAAAGAGAAAAAACGAUGUUGGAAAUGUGGGAGAGGACAUCCCCCAGAAAACUGCACUCUGAAGAAGCCCUGUGCAACAUGUGGAGAACAACAUCUGCUCAUACUACAUGAUGUUGCUGCUGCAGAGAGCAUCCUGACCGUAAAUACGUCCUCCAAUACGGUUUUCCUGGACCAAGUCAGCCAUUCAGGGCGAGUAAUGCUAAAGGUUGUCCCAGUGCGGUUGCAAAAUGGGGAGAAAACACUGGACACAUAUGCUGUCCUGGAUGAUGGCUCCGAAAGAACAAUCAUACUACCUGCUGCCGUCCAUCACCUUGGCCUUGUGGGAGCAGAAGAGAUUCUGUCCCUCAGGACAAUUCGACAAGAAAUCGUACAGCUGAAGGGAGCCACUGUAUCCUUUCAGGUGUCAGGUAUGACAAACCGAGUGAAGUAUGACAUUCACCAGGCUUUUACAGCAGCCGAAGUAACUCUGGCAGAGCAAUCACGUGCUGCUGACCUCCUGACACAACGAUACAAACACUUGAGAGGCUUAUCCCUGCAGUCCUUUGACAAAGUCCAGCCCCUGCUACUUAUCGGUUCUGAUAACCCUCACCUGAUAAUACCUACCCAGCCUGUGCGUACCGGUCCAGUUGGUGGCCCAGUGGCUGUGUGCACAAUGCUGGGGUGGGCGAUUCAGGGACCGGCAAGCUUUUUGCAGCAACCAACAGAUGAGAGAAGCUGUCUGCAUUUGUCCACUCUCUCCUCCUCAGAUGAGCUGCAUCAACAUGUCCAGAGACUCUGGCAGCUGGACACCCUACCCUUCCACACCAACAAGGAGGUGACGCGAUCAGGCGAAGAUAAAGCAGCCAUAGAACGACUGGAGCAAGGGACUGUCCGGGUCACCGUCGAUGGAGUGGCUCGCUAUGCUACUCCACUGUUGCGAAGACAGAAUGCACCUGUUCUUCGGGCACCUCCCACAGCAGUGAUGGCACUCCUCAGAGCGACAGAGCGACGUUUGUGUAACAGUCCAGAUCAAGCUGCUGUCUACAAUGAGGAAAUUCACAAGUUGGAGAAAGCUGGUUAUGUAGUAAAGAUCAGCAUGAAUGAGGUGAGCAGUUCUGCGGAAUCAUGGUUUAUCCCGCACCACAUUGUGUACCACAACAACAAGCCCAGAAUUGUCUUCAACUGCUCCUUUAACUACAAGCAAGCUUCACUUAACAAGAACCUGCUUCCUGGCCCGGUUCUUGGGUCAACACUGCUUGGCGUGCUGUUGAGAUUCAGAGAGUAUGCUGUGGCUAUCAGUGGAGAUAUUCGCGGCAUGUUCCAUCAGGUGCGCCUUCUGCCUGAGGACCAGCCACUUCUACGCUUCUUAUGGCGAGACGGGGAGAGGGAGCGCUGCCCAGACGUGUACGAGUGGCGUGUCCUUCCUUUCGGGACCACAUGUAGCCCAUGCUGUGCUACAUAUGCCCUGCAGCGCCAUGUAAAGGAUCACAGCGAAGAGAAUGAAGAGGUACUGUACUCGGUGCUCCAUGCAUUCUAUGUGGAUAACUGCUUACAGUCUCUACAAUCUCAGACUCAGGCAAAGGACCUGAUAGACAAGAUGAGAGCCCUCCUUGCCAGUGGAGGAUUUGAGAUAAGGCAGUGGGCUAGCAACGCACCGGAGGUUAUUUCUCACCUACCAACAGAAGCCAAAUCAACUGAGUGUGAGUUAUGGCUGACUACUAACAAGACUGAACCACAAGAGUCUUCCCUUGGUCUCAUGUGGCGCUGCAGCUCUGACACAUUGGGAUACAAGCACCGUGCCAUUCCACGUACUGCACCAACCCUGAGAUAUGUUUACAGAGUACUGGCAAGCCAAUAUGACCCAUUAGGUUAUAUCAUUCCCUUUACAACGCGAGCCAAGGUUCUGGUUCAGGCACUCUGGAAGAAAGAGAGGGGUUGGGAUGAGCCGAUUGCUGAUGAGCUCCUGUCCGUGUGGUUAGCAUGGGAAAGUGAGCUGCCAUACUUGCCAAACCUCAGCUUGCCAAGGUGUUACACUCCUGGUAUCUCGGCUGGGAGCCCCGUGAACCUGCACAUCUUCUGUGAUGCCUCAGAGAGAGCCUAUGGUGCAGUUGCAUACCUGAGAGUAGAGACUGACAGCAAUGAAGUUAAAGUGGCAUUUGUGAUGGCCCGAUCUCGUGUGGCACCCAAAAGGCAGCUUUCAAUACCUCGCCUGGAACUCUGCGCUGCCCUAGCAGGAGCACAGUUAGCCAAAGUCCUGCAGACCGAGUUAACCCUGCCACUACAGACAGCUACCCUGUGGACAGAUUCGACCACUGUCCUUCACUGGAUCCAGUCUGAAUCCCAGCAGUAUAAAGUGUUUGUGGGAACCCGAAUAGCAGAAAUUCAAGAGCUUGUUGGAGCUGAGAGCUGGAGAUAUGUUCCCUCUGAAGAGAACCCUGCCGAUGACAUCACACGUGGGAAAUCCUUAAAGGAUUUAACUAAGCCAGACCGCUGGACAGAUGGCCCAGCAUUCCUCCAUCAGCCUCCCGCUAGCUGGCCUACGCACCCCACGGUGAGCUCGAUGCAGAAGGAAGAGAUCCGCGACACCAUCUUCUGUGGCAACAUUUCCACAAGCAGCCCGCUGACGCCUGAUCUGACCCAGUUCAAAUCCUGGACCGAGCUGAUACAUGCCACAUAUCACGCCCUCCACGGGGCGGCCGCUCCACCCAUGACUGCCUCCAGUCGUAGGGAGGCAGAAAUUGCCCUACUGAAAAGGUCACAAAGUGAGAGCUUCCCGGCAGAGCUUGCUGCAUUGCAGUCAGGUAAAACUGUCAGCCCUAACAGCCGCUUGCUGUCGCUUUCACCUGAAUUAGACCAUACUGUCGGGUUGAUCAGGGUUGGAGGUCGUCUCCGGAGGGCUGAAAAUCUGAAAGAGGACACUAUCCAUCCUAUAGUUCUUGCACCAGAUCACCCUGUCACAACGCUGUUAGUGCAGGACUAUGAUAACCGUCUGUUACAUGCAGGUCCUGACCGUAUAUUCGCAGAGAUAAGGAGGACCUACUGGAUACUUCGCGGCCGACAGAUUAUCAAGAGACAUCAACGCAGUUGUGUGGAAUGUUGUAAAUGGCGCAGCAAACCAGUCACUCCCCAGAUGGCAGACCUACCAGCUGCACGACUACGCAUCACUAAACCACCAUACUGGUCCACUGGAGUCGACUGCUUCGGCCCUUACACCAUAAAAAUCGGACGGAGGCAUGAGAAAAGGUGGGGUAUUAUCUUUAAAUGUCUGACCACCAGGUGCGUACAUCUGGACCUCUUGUGCAGCAUGAACACGGAUUCAUUCUUGCUUGCCCUUCGGCGCUUUGUUGCAAGAAGAGGAAACCCUUUGAGAUUCUCUGUGAUCGUGGCACCAACUUCAGAGGAGGAGAGAGGGAACUCAGAGAAGAUUUUGCUGCUAUGGAACCAGUUUUGA